AUGCUGAAAACAUCAUAAAUGAUUUUUGAACUGCAUUAGAAGAUUUAAAAUUUAUAAUGCUCUACAGCAAAUUCUAAAAUGGAAUGAAAAAUUGGAGACCUGAAGUAGACUUAUAAUUAGGUUGAAAACAUUUGUCCAAAGUUACAUGAAAAAUUAAACUCCUGCUGGUUGGAAUAAAAGGUUUUUUGCCACUCAUAAUCUGAUCUAAUAUCCUACUAAUUAAGUAAAGUGAAAAACCUCUUGUUCUUAUGGCUGGGAAAAAGGAUGAAGUUUCGUCAAAGAAUAGCUUGGGUGAUGCUGUUUGGUUAUCUAGGUGUGACUGUUGUAACCAUUUAUUACUUGUUUGAACUUGCUGAUCAGUAUAACAUCCUUUCAUUAGAACAUACAAGAUUGUAUCACUCUAUAGAAAAUAAAAGAAUAGAUAAAAAGGAGACUUUAUUGAGCCAUUUACCAGACAUUCCUUAUGUAGUAUGGCUGUUAUUUGGGAUAUUAAUAUAUAUACAGAUUUUUUUUGUUCUUUAUGCUUGCACAAAACCCCAUCCAAAACAUUAUUUAAUAUCUUGUUUUUUAGUGAUUUGUAAAAAACAUGAUUAUGAUGCAACAAAAGAAGUUAAAAGCAACAAUGAGUUAAAAUCAGAGAAUUUGAUGUUAUCUAAUGGACAUAUAAAUCCAUUAAUAUUAUAAUGAUGAUUUUUGCAGUAUGCAUGAUUGUUAGGUAAAGAUAUUGAUUUAAAAACGGCACAACAGUUUAUGCUUUGUCUAUUGUAUAUAGUAUACAGCAUAAAUAAUGUAUUGAAUAUUUUCAUAGAAGCCAAAUAAAAGUAAAUGAAUGUUACAGUAA